rnacentral:rRNA from 1 species
AGCAGCCGCGGUAAUUCCAGCUCCAAUAGCGUAUAUUAAAGUUGCUGCAGUUAAAAAGCUCGUAGUUGAAUUUCGGGACCGAUAUAUCGGUCGUGCCUCGGUACGUACUGGUAUUUUCGGUUUCUACCUUCUGACGAACCUUGAUGUCAUUAAUUUGGUGUCUUGGGGAAUCAGGACUGUUACUUUAGAAAAAAUUAGAGUGUUUAAAGCAGGCUCACGCUUGAAUACAUUAGCAUGGAAUAAUGAAAUAGGACGUUUGAUUCUAUUUUGUUGGUUUCUAGGAUCGACGUAAUGAUUAAUAGGGAUAGUUGGGGGCAUUAGUAUUCAAUUGUCAGAGGUGAAAUUCUUGGAUUUAUUGAAGACUAACUACUGCGAAAGCAUUUGCCAAGGAUGUUUUCAUUAAUCAAGAACGAAAGUUAGGGGAUCGAAGACGAUCAGAUACCGUCGUAGUCUUAACCAUAAACUAUGCCGACUAGGGAUCGGAUGAUGUUAAUUUUUUUAAUGACUCAUUCGGCGCCUU